rnacentral:rRNA from 1 species
AGGGUGUAAACGCUGCAGACUUGGUGUUGGGGGCCCUUUGGGGGCAUUCAGUGCCGGAGAGAAGUUGUUAAGUCUGCUACUUGGGGAGUACGUCCGCAAGGAUGAAACUUAAAGGAAUUGGCGGGGGAGCACCGCAACGGGAGGAGCGUGCGGUUUAAUUGGAUUCAACACCGUAAAACUCACCAGGGAAGACUGUUACAUGAAGGCCGAGAUGAAGACUCUGCUAGAUUUUUCAGAGAGGAGGUGCAUGGCGUCAGUGACU